GCAUAGGAAUCUGCCCAGUAGCGGGGGAUAACCCGGGGAAACUCGGGCUAAUACCGCAUACGCCCUGCGGGGGAAAGUGGGGGAUCUUCGGACCUCACACUAUUGGAUGAGCCUAUGUCGGAUUAGCUUGUUGGUGGGGUAAUGGCCCACCAAGGCGACGAUCUGUAGCUGGUCUGAGAGGACGACCAGCCACACUGGGACUGAGACACGGCCCAGACUCCUACGGGAGGCAGCAGUGGGGAAUAUUGGACAAUGGGGGCAACCCUGAUCCAGCAAUGCCGCGUGUGUGAAGAAGGCCUGCGGGUUGUAAAGCACUUUCAGCAGGGAAGAAAAGCUUGGCGUUAAUACCGCCAAGUCUUGACGUUACCUGAAGAAGAAGCACCGGCUAACUCUGUGCCAGCAGCCGCGGUAAUACAGAGGGUGCAAGCGUUAAUCGGAAUUACUGGGCGUAAAGCGCGCGUAGGCGGUCGCGUAAGUUAGAUGUGAAAGCCCCGGGCUUAACCUGGGAAUUGCAUCUAAGACUGCGUAACUAGAGUAUGGGAGAGGCGGGUAGAAUUCCAGGUGUAGCGGUGAAAUGCGUAGAUAUCUGGAGGAAUACCAGUGGCGAAGGCGGCCCGCUGGACCAAUACUGACGCUGAGGUGCGAAAGCGUGGGGGAGCAAACAGGAUUAGAUACCCUGGUAGUCCACGCCGUAAACGAUGAGAACUAGC
rnacentral:rRNA from 1 species